GAUGAACGCUGGCGGCGUGCCUAAUACAUGCAAGUCGAGCGAACAGAUGAGGAGCUUGCUCCUCUGACGUUAGCGGCGGACGGGUGAGUAACACGUGGAUAACCUACCUAUAAGACUGGGAUAACUUCGGGAAACCGGAGCUAAUACCGGAUAAUAUAUUGAACCGCAUGGUUCAAUAGUGAAAGACGGUUUUGCUGUCACUUAUAGAUGGAUCCGCGCCGCAUUAGCUAGUUGGUAAGGUAACGGCUUACCAAGGCAACGAUGCGUAGCCGACCUGAGAGGGUGAUCGGCCACACUGGAGCUGAGACACGGUCCAGACUCCUACGGGAGGCAGCAGUAGGGAAUCUUCCGCAAUGGGCGAAAGCCUGACGGAGCAACGCCGCGUGAGUGAUGAAGGUCUUCGGAUCGUAAAACUCCGUUAUUAGGGAAGAACAAAUGUGUAAGUAACUAUGCACGUCUUGACGGUACCUAAUCAGAAAGCCGCGGCUAACUACGUG
rnacentral:rRNA from 1 species